rnacentral:rRNA from 1 species
UACGGAGGGGGCUAGCGUUGUUCGGAAUUACUGGGCGUAAAGCGCACGUAGGCGGCUUUGUAAGUUAGAGGUGAAAGCCCGGGGCUCAACCCCGGAAUUGCCUUUAAGACUGCAUCGCUUGAAUCCGGGAGAGGUGAGUGGAAUUCCGAGUGUAGAGGUGAAAUUCGUAGAUAUUCGGAAGAACACCAGUGGCGAAGGCGGCUCACUGGACCGGUAUUGACGCUGAGGCGCGAAAGCUAGGGGAGCAAACAGG